rnacentral:rRNA from 1 species
AUGUUAGCGGCGGACGGGUGAGUAACACGUGGGUAACCUACCUAUAAGACUGGGAUAACUCCGGGAAACCGGGGCUAAUACCGGAUAAUAUUUUGAACCGCAUGGUUCGAUAGUGAAAGACGGUUUCGGCUGUCACUUAUAGAUGGACCCGCGCCGUAUUAGCUAGUUGGUAAGGUAACGGCUUACCAAGGCGACGAUACGUAGCCGACCUGAGAGGGUGAUCGGCCACACUGGAACUGAGACACGGUCCAGACUCCUACGGGAGGCAGCAGGC